rnacentral:rRNA from 1 species
UGCUGGGAGCGGCAAACGGGUGAGUAUAACGUGGGAAUCUACCUCAAAGUCAAGAAUAACUUCGAGAAAUCAAAGCUAAUACUUGAUGGUCCCGAAAGGGUAAAGAUUUAUCGCUUUGAGAAGAGCCCACGCACUAUCAGCUUGUUGGUAAGGUAAAAGCUUACCAAGGCUAUGACGGUUAGGAGGCCCGAGAGGGUGUUCUCCCACAUUGGCACUUAGACACUGGCCAAACUCCUACGGGAGGCUGCAGUCGAGAAUCUUCGUCAAUGCGCGAAAGCGUGAACGAGCGACGCCGCGUGAAUGAUGACGCCCUUCGGGGUGUAAAAUUCUUUUAUUAGGGAGAAACUUUGAUAUUACCUAAUGAAUAAGAGGUUGCUAACUCUGUGCCAGCAGCAGCGGUAAUACAGAGACCUCAAGCGUUAUCCGGAUUUAUUGGGCGUAAAGCGUCUGUAGGCGGAACAAAUAGUCAGAUGUUAAAUUUUAGGGCUCAACCCUAAAACCGCAUUUGAAACGUUUGUUCUAGAGGAUGGUAGAGGCAAAUAGAACUUAUGGUGUAGCAGUAAAAUGCGUUGAUAUUAUAAGGAAUACCAAAGGCGAAGGCAUUUUGCUGGACCAUUUCUGACGCUGAGAGACGAAAGCGUGGGUAGCGAAUGGGAUUAGAUACCCCAGUAGUCCACGCCGUAAACGAUGGAUAUUAGACAUUAGGAGUGUCGACCCUUUUAGUGUCGAAGCUAACGCAUUAAAUAUCCCGCCUGGGAAGUACGGUCGCAAGACUAAAACUCAAAGGAAUAGACGGGGACCUGCACAAGCGGUGGAGCAUGUGGUUUAAUUCGAUGAUAAACGAGGAACCUUACCAAGGCUUGAAAUCUCUAGAAUCCCCGAGAAACCGGGGAGUGCCGCAAGGAACUAGAUGACAGGUGCUGCAUGGUUGCCGUCAGCUCGUGCCGUGAGGUGUUCGGUUAAGUCCAGUAACGAGCGCAACCCCUUUCAAAUGUUGUAUUUCUCAUUUGAGACUGCCCGGGUUAACCGGGAGGAAGGCGGGGACGACGUCAAAUCAGCAUGGCCCUUGACGCCUUGGGCUACACACAUGCUACAAUGGAAAGUAACAAAGGGUUGCCAAACCGAAAGGUGGAGCUAAUCCCGACAAAACUUUUCUCAGUUCGGAUUGAGGGCUGCAACUCGCCCUCAUGAAGUUGGAAUCGCUAGUAAUCGUAAAUCAGCUAUAUUACGGUGAAUACGUUCUCAGGUCUUGUACUCACCGCCCGUCACACCAAUAGAGUCGGUAAUACCCGAAGUCCCUCUUUUUAAGGGGGCCCACGGUAGGAUCGGUAAUAAGGGUGAAGUCGUAACAAGGUAUCCGUAGCGGAAGCUGUGGAUGGAUCACCUCCUUU